UGGCAUGUCUGGGUCUAGGUGGUGACUCUC
rnacentral:piRNA from 1 species